CUACGGGGGGCUGCAGUGGGGAAUAUUGGACAAUGGGCGAAAGCCUGAUCCAGCCAUGCCGCGUGUGUGAAGAUGGCCUUCGGGUUGUAAAGCACUUUCAGUGGGGAAGAAAGCCUUGGGGCUAAUACCCUCGAGGAAGGACAUCACCCACAGAAGAAGCACCGGCUAACUCCGUGCCAGCAGCCGCGGUAAUACGGAGGGUGCGAGCGUUAAUCGGAAUUACUGGGCGUAAAGCGCGCGUAGGCGGUCUGAUAAGCCGGUUGUGAAAGCCCCGGGCUCAACCUGGGAACGGCAUCCGGAACUGUCAGGCUAGAGUGCAGGAGAGGAAGGUAGAAUUCCCGGUGUAGCGGUGAAAUGCGUAGAGAUCGGGAGGAAUACCAGUGGCGAAGGCGGUCUUCUGGACUGACACUGACGCUGAGGUGCGAAAGCGUGGGUAGCAAACAGGAUUAGAUACCCGGGUAGUC
rnacentral:rRNA from 1 species